rnacentral:rRNA from 1 species
GACGAACGCUGGCGGCGUGCUUAACACAUGCAAGUCGAACGAAGUGGCGAACGGGUGAGUAACGCGUAAUCAACCUGCCCUUCAGAGGGGGACAACAGUUGUAAACGACUGCUAAUACCGCAUACUGAAGGAGGGGAUUGCGUCUGAUUAGCUAGUUGGAGGGGUAACGGCCCACAAAGGCGAUGAUCAGUAGCCGGUCUGAGAGGAGGAACGGCCACAUUGGGACUGAGACACGGCCCAGACUCCUACGGGAGGCAGCAGUGGGGAAUCUUCCACAAUGGGCGCAAGCCUGAUGCAGCCAUGCCGCGUGUAUGAAGAAGGCCUUCGGGUUGUAAAGCUCUGUUAAUCGGGACGCGGUACCGGAAUAGAAAGCCACGGCUAACUACGUGCCAGCCGCCGCGGUAAUAC